CAAAGAAACCCUUACAAAUCCCACCAAAUCCCCCCCGGAGCUGUCUAAAGGGCUCGAGGCCACACCUCUUUCUAGGGUGCAGGACUGGUGGAGCGUGAUUGGAGAAAGGGUGCUGAAAAGAAGCCCCAUCCCUGGAAGAAUCUGCCUGCCCCACAGCUCCACCCCCACCCCGGGAGGGUGGGGAAUCCAACCGAGACUGAAGGCACAGCCCUGGGACCUAUACCCCUUGCUCUAGAGUGAGUGGCAAUGUACCCAUCCCCGACUCGCCAGGUCCAGACCGCAGAGCGUGGGGGCGUGGGCGGCUGGGAGGUCAUCGCCAGGGGCUUGAAAAGCGCGAAACCCAGAGGCGGGGAGGGGAGAAGCGGCGCGGAGCAGAGCCAGACAGGAGAGGGGACUUGGUGGGAAGGCUGCUCCGCCUGCCUGCCCGGGGUCAAAGCGAGCCGAGCGGCCUCAGCGACGCGGAGAGGGGCGCCCCCGGCCCGCGCAGCGCCGCCGCCCCGCCCCUCCUUGGUCCCUGGGGACUGCUCCCCGGCGCUCCCGCCCCCCCGCCGAGCCGGGGAUCUGCAAGCAGCCAGCCAGGUGGACCAGUGGGGGAUGCAGAGCUGGACGAAGAAGUUACCUAUCACCGAGGCAAAAGGAAGGCUUCCCCAAGGCAGUGACGUCUCAGCUGCACUCUGCCCGUUAAGCUGGACUUGGCCUGAUGCAGGCAAAGGCAACCGGAGCAGCAUGGUCCCCGAUCACACCUGGUGAGUUCAGCUCGACUCCAGCAAAAUCAAGAGGGCGGCCUGGAAGGAGCCAGGGCCGGGAGAGCCUGGGGGGCGGGGGGCGUUCAGUCGGCAGAGAUGGAGGGGUCAGCAGCAAGACUAGAGAGGAAGGGAUGCGUUCUAGAGACGCCUGAAGGGAAGAAGCUGCAGGGCUUGUGAUGGGUUAGAUUGGACAUGCAUGGAGGCCAGCCUGCGAAAGGCAGGCGAGGGAGCAAGGAUGAAGCCCGGGUUUCCGUCUGGGAGUCUCGCUUUGUGGGAGAAGAUGAAGUUUGUGGAGCCUGUUUCCAAGAGGCAGAGAAUGUUUCCAGGGAGGAGGGAUCAGGGAGCCAAAGCUGUGGAGAAGUCACGUUAGCUAAGUCUUCACUGCACCCAGCAACGACGAGGCAGCUGGUGGCCUUGGAGUGAGCAGAGUGGGAGCACAGUGGCGCAGAAGCCAGAUGGGACUGGCCUGGCCUUUGAGAAGACGGUAACGUAGGGAUGUAGCCAGUGCUCUCGAGAAGGGGAGGAGGCUAACUGGAGGCAGACGUCGGGGGAGAGGGGGUUGGUUUGGUUUUAAGAGGGAGAGGCUUAAGUGCCUCCAGGAAGAGCUGUGGCGAUGAGCUCCGACUAGGAAGAGGGAGGUUCCCAUGGAGACUUGAGGUCCCGAGUCACACCAGAGAUGCAUGGAGGGCCCGUGCUGCCCAGAGAUGCAUGGAGGGCCCGUGCUGCCCAGCUGGUGAUCUUCUUGUUCUCGGGUGGACCCAGAAAGCAGCUGAGGCUUUGUGGAGAAAUCCUGGAAAGAGGGUUCCAGGAUCAGAUCAGAGCACAGUAACAGCAAAAGGCUGUGGAGUCGAGGUGAAGAGCACAGAUUUAGAAGACACGCAGCCUAGGAGUUCCCGUUGUGGCUCAGUGGUAACAAAGCCAACUAGUAUCCGCGUUCAAUCCCUGGCCUCGCUCGGUGGGUCAGGGAUCUGGCGUUGCUGUGAGCUGGGGUGUAGGUCACAGAC
rnacentral:lncRNA from 1 species